GGGCGGGAUGUAACCCGCUGCUGAGCUGGCAGCUCUGUGUCGCUAGGCUUCGGCCCGGCCGCCGCCGCACAUAAGCUGCGAGGAGGAGCUUUACGACUUCCCGGUCUUCGGGGCCGGGCGCAGCAAGGGCCAGACUCUGCGCUAGCAGGCGCUGCGCGCCAACCGGCCGGCACCUGUCGCAGAAGGUGCAACCGAUCGCACUGUCGCGCCGAAGCUCCUCAAUGGCCAGCGCCAGCUGCAGCCCCGGCCGCCCACUCGCCUCACCUGAGCCUGGGAGCUUGAAAAAUCACAUUUGAGAAGAGGAUUGGAUCCUAGCCAUAACAUAAAUAUAAGGGUGGAACCAAAGUUUUAAUCAAAGAAGGUGGUGUUCAGUUGCUGCUUACAAUAGUUGAUACCCCAGGAUUUGGAGAUGCAGUGGAUAACAGUAAUUGCUGGCAGCCUGUUAUCAAUUACAUUGAUAUUAAAUUUGAGGACUACCUAAAUGCAGAAUCGCGAGUGAACAGAUGUCAGAUGCCUGGUAACAGGGUGCAGUGUUGUUUAUACUUCAUUGCUCCUUCAGGACAUGGACCAUUACAUAACUGAAGACUCCCACCUUCAGGCAGGAUUGGGUAGUACGUGUUUGUAACUACCUGGCAUUGCCUUUUGUUGAGGAAGGGUAGAUGUCUACCCAAAUGGAAUAUUGAGUAUCAGAGACUUCAAAUGAUAACUUUUGUUUGUUUGGAGAAAAUCUUGAGGACGUGAUCACUGUACAAAAGCAUGGCAAAAUGAGGAAACCACUGACAGGUGAAGAAUUUGCACAAUGGAAAACCACCUUGACCAUCUCAUGACUUUAUACAGGAAUCGGAGACAUCCAAGGCCAUUCCAUUUCUAAAUCACACUUAUCCCUCAAUCAAGUCAGUGACUGGAUCAUCUCCUAAGGUUUCACCUGCUUUGCAUCAGUGAGUUGGACUAUGGAUCAGGUACUGUGCUCAGCAUCAGAAAAUGGGAUGACAAUGAACAGAGUAACAGGACUAUAUUUCUGAAAAAGGAUGAACUUACUGGAAACAGGAUUGCGUGCCUGAAAUAUAUCCAAAUGGAUAUAAAUGUCAACUCAGUUCUGGGCUGGAGAUAUAGAUUUGGAAUGCACCAACAAUGCAGAUGGUAAUCCUGGCAUGCGAGUAGGUGAGAUCAUCCAGGGAGAUGGCCUAUAAUGAGAGCCUACAACAUGUCAGGGCUCAAGCACCUCUUACUGCCUCCUCACUCUGGAACCAAAUGCCUUACUGUCUGCACUGCUCCCCAUUGCCUUCCCUCCCGCCUCACCAGUUGAUCCCUAUACCUCCUUCCCAAUGACCUCCAGGAGGCCUCUAACUUACAGGAGAAUGCGUUUCAGGUUCUAAUGACAGGAUCACAGAAUGUGAAUUUUGAACAGAUCUGAAAAGUUAUUAAGUUCAACUCCACAGAGGUUCCUAGGAGAAUGUUAACAGUCCAGACCUUUUUCACUACAUCAACCACGGAUGAUUGGCAUAUAAAAUCCUACUUAACCUUUACAUAACUGCAAUACCAGGAAACAAAUAUGUCAAUAAAAGGAAACAUCAUUCAA
rnacentral:lncRNA from 1 species